ACAGCAGUCGCCGCGGUAAUACGUAGGUGGCAAGCGUUGUCCGGAAUUAUUGGGCGUAAAGGGCUCGCAGGCGGUUUCUUAAGUCUGAUGUGAAAGCCCCCGGCUCAACCGGAGAGGGUCAUUGGAAACUGGGAAACUUGAGUGCAGAGGAGGAGAGUGGAAUUCCACGUGUAGCGGUGAAAUGCGUAGAGAUGUGGAGGAACACCAGUGGCGAAGGCGACUCUCUGGUCUGUAACUGACGCUGAGGAGCGAAAGCGUGGGGAGCGAACAGGAUUAGAUACCCGCGUAGUCCCUGUCUCUUAUAC
rnacentral:rRNA from 1 species